rnacentral:tRNA from 1 species
GGCGCCAUCGUCUAUCGGUUAGGACAAUGCCCUUUCAAGGCAUAAAGACGGGUUCGAUUCCCGUUGGCGCUACCA